rnacentral:rRNA from 1 species
GACGAACGCUAGCGGAUGGCUAACACAUGCAAGUCGAGCGGGCAGCUUCGGCUGUCUAGCGGCGAACGGGUGCGUAACACGUGGGUAAUCUGCCUUCUGGUGGGGGAUAACCCGACGAAAGUCGGGCUAAUACCGCAUAUGGCCUACGGGUCAAAGCAGCAAUGCGCCAGUUGAUGAGCCCGCGGCCCAUUAUUUAAUCCUAGUUGGCGGGGUAACGGCCCACCAAGGGUACGAUGGGUAGCUGGUCUGAGAGGACGAUCAGCCACACUGGGACUGAGACACGGCCCAGACUCCUACGGGAGGCAGCAGUGGGGAAUAUUGCGCAAUGGGCGAAAGCCUGACGCAGCCAAUCCGCGUGGGUGAUGAAGGCCUUCGGUUGUAAGACCCUGUCGUGAGGGACGAAGGUUCUGACGGUACCGUCACAAGAAA